AUUGAACGCUGGCGGCAGGCCUAACACAUGCAAGUCGAACGAGUGGCGGACGGGUGAGUAAUGUCUGGGAAACUGCCUGCUGGCGGGGGAUAACUACUGGAAACGGUAGCUAAUACCGCAUACCAUCAGAUGUGCCCAGAUGGGAUUAGCUAGUUGGUGGGGUAACGGCUCACCAGGGCGACGAUCCCUAGCUGGUCUGAGAGGAUGACCAGCCACACGGGAAUGGAGAAACGGUCCAGACACCUACGGGAGGCAGCGGUGGGGAAUAUUGCACAAUGGGGGCAAGCCUGAUGCAGCCAGGCGGCGUGUAUGAAGAAGGCCUUCGGGUUGUAAAGUACUUUCAGAGGGGAGGCGGUACCCGAAGAAGAAGCACCGGCUAACUACGUGCCAGCAGCCGCGGUAAUAC
rnacentral:rRNA from 1 species